AAAAAUUGCCCCCGUAACUUCGGGAGAAGGGGGACCAUUUCUGGUGACGACUUUUUCGGUCUGAGCUGGGGGUGGUCGCAGAGACCAGAGAGAAGCGACUGUUUACUAAAAACACAGGUCCGUGCGAAGUCGUAAGACGAUGUAUACGGACUGACGCCUGCCCGGUGCUGGAAGGUUAAGAGGACCGGUUAGUCAACUUUGUUGGCGAAGCUGAGAAUUUAAGCCCCAGUAAACGGCGGUGGUAACUAUAACCAUCCUAAGGUAGCGAAAUUCCUUGUCGGGUAAGUUCCGACCUGCACGAAUGGCGUAACGACUUCUCUGCUGUCUCAACCACAGACUCGGCGAAAUUGCAGUACGAGUAAAGAUGCUCGUUACGCGCGGCAGGACGAAAAGACCCCGGGACCUUCACUAUAGCUUGGUAUUGGUGUUCGGUACGGUUUGUGUAGGAUAGGUGGGAGACUGUGAAGUGGGCACGCUAGUGUUCGUGGAGUCGUUGUUGAAAUACCACUCUGAUCGUAUUGGGCUUCUAACCUCGGACCCUGAUCGGGUUCAGGGACAGUGCCUGGUGGGUAGUUUAACUGGGGCGGUUGCCUCCUAAAAUGUAACGGAGGCGCCCAAAGGUUCCCUUAGCCUGGAUGGCAAUCAGGUGUUGAGUGUAAGUGCACAAGGGAGCUUGACUGUGAGACGUACAUGUCGAGCAGGGACGAAAGUCGGGACUAGUGAUCCGGCACCGGCAAGUGGAAGCGGUGUCGCUCAACGGAUAAAAGGUACCCCGGGGAUAACAGGCUGAUCUUCCCCAAGAGUCCAUAUCGACGGGAUGGUUUGGCACCUCGAUGUCGGCUCGUCGCAUCCUGGGGCUGGAGUAGGUCCCAAGGGUUGGGCUGUUCGCCCAUUAAAGCGGCACGCGAGCUGGGUUUAGAACGCCGUGAGACAGUUCGGUCUCUAUCCGCCGCGCGCGUCUAGAAACUUGAGGAAACCUGUCCCUAGUACGAGAGGACCGGGACGGACGAACCUCUGGUGUGCCAGUUGUUCCGCCAGGAGCACUGCUGGUUAGCUACGUUCGGAAGGGAUAACCGCUGAAAGCAUCUAAGCGGGAAGCCUGUUCCAAGAUGAGGUUUCUCACCCACCCUUGUGGUGGGGUAAGGCCCCCUACAGACCAUGGGGUUGAUAGGCCAGAACUGUAAGCACAGUAAUGUGUUCAGGUGACUGGUACUAAUCGGCCGAGGACC
rnacentral:rRNA from 1 species